GAUCGCUGAAUUUCCGAUUAGGAAGACGGGGGAACCACCGUAACAUGGGGUGAAUCCUUCGGGGAAUGCUGUCAUAUUCCCUGAAGGUAGGGCUACUCUCAAGGGCCCGAAUCCGACAGCUAACCUCGUAAGCGUGCCUGAGAGA
rnacentral:sRNA from 1 species